rnacentral:rRNA from 1 species
UAGGGAAUCUUCGGCAAUGGGGGGAACCCUGACCGAGCAACGCCGCGUGAGUGAAGAAGGUUUUCGGAUCGUAAAGCUCUGUUGUUAAGGAAGAACGAGUGUGAGAAUGGAAAGUUCAUACUGUGACGGUACUUAACCAGAAAGGGACGGCUAACUACGUGCCAGCAGCCGCGGUAAUACGUAGGUCCCGAGCGUUGUCCGGAUUUAUUGGGCGUAAAGCGAGCGCAGGCGGUUAGAUAAGUCUGAAGUUAAAGGCAGUGGCUCAACCAUUGUAGGCUUUGGAAACUGUUUAACUUGAGUGCAGAGGGGGAGAGUGGAAUUCCAUGUGUAGCGGUGAAAUGCGUAGAUAUAUGGAGGAACACCGGUGGCGAAAGCGGCUCUCUGGUCUGUAACUGACGCUGAGGCUCGAAAGCGUGGGGAGCGAACAGG